AUGAACGCUAGCGGCAGGCCUAACACAUGCAAGUCGAGGGGCAUCGGGAUUGAAGCUUGCUUCAAUUGCCGGCGACCGGCGCACGGGUGCGUAACGCGUAUGUAACCUACCUAUAACAGGGGCAUAACACUGAGAAAUUGGUACUAAUUCCCCAUAAUAUUCGGAGAGGCAUCUCUCCGGGUUGAAAACUCCGGUGGUUAUAGAUGGACAUGCGUUGUAUUAGCUAGUUGGUGAGGUAACGGCUCACCAAGGCAACGAUACAUAGGGGGACUGAGAGGUUAACCCCCCACACUGGUACUGAGACACGGACCAGACUCCUACGGGAGGCAGCAGUGAGGAAUAUUGGUCAAUGGACGCAAGUCUGAACCAGCCAUGCCGCGUGCAGGAAGACGGCUCUAUGAGUUGUAAACUGCUUUUGUACGAGGGUAAACUCACCUACGUGUAGGUGACUGAAAGUAUCGUACGAAUAAGGAUCGGCUAACUCCGUGCCAGCAGCCGCGGUAAUACGGAGGAUUCAAGCGUUAUCCGGAUUUAUUGGGUUUAAAGGGUGCGUAGGCGGUUUGAUAAGUUAGAGGUGAAAUCCCGGGGCUUAACUCCGGAACUGCCUCUAAUACUGUUAGACUAGAGAGUAGUUGCGGUAGGCGGAAUGUAUGGUGUAGCGGUGAAAUGCUUAGAGAUCAUACAGAACACCGAUUGCGAAGGCAGCUUACCAAACUAUAUCUGACGUUGAGGCACGAAAGCGUGGGGAGCAAACAGGAUUAGAUACCCUGGUAGUCCACGCAGUAAACGAUGAUAACUCGUUGUCGGCGAUACACAGUCGGUGACUAAGCGAAAGCGAUAAGUUAUCCACCUGGGGAGUACGUUCGCAAGAAUGAAACUCAAAGGAAUUGACGGGGGCCCGCACAAGCAGUGGAGUAUGUGGUUUAAUUCGAAGCAACGCGAAGAACCUUACCAGGGCUUGACAUAUACAGGAAUACUUAAGAAAUUAGGUAGUCUUUCGAGACUUGUAUACAGGUGGUGCAUGGUUGUCGUCAGCUCGUGUCGUGAGAUGUUGGGUUAAGUCCCGCAACGAGCGCAACCCUUGUGAUAUGUUACUAACAUUGAGUUGAGGACUCAUAUCAGACUGCCGGUGAUAAACCGGAGGAAGGUGGGGAUGACGUCAAAUCAUCAUGCCCCUUAUGGCCUGGGCUACACACGUACUACAAUGGCGUCUACAAAGAGCGGCAAGCCUGUGAAGGCAAGCGAAUCUCAUAAAGGACGUCUCAGUUCGGAUUGAAGUCUGCAACCCGACUUCAUGAAGCUGGAAUCGCUAGUAAUCGCGAAUCAGCAUGUCGCGGUGAAUACGUUCUCGGGCCUUGUACACACCGCCCGUCACACCAUGAGAGUCGGGAACACCCGAAGUCCGUAGCUUAACCGCAAGGAGGGCGCGGCCGAAGGUGGGUUCGAUAAUUGGGGUG
rnacentral:rRNA from 1 species